rnacentral:rRNA from 1 species
UUGGAGGGCAAGUCUGGUGCCAGCAGCCGCGGUAAUUCCAGCUCCAAUAGCGUAUAUUAAAGUUGUUGCAGUUAAAAAGCUCGUAGUUGAAUUUCGGGAUCAAUUUGCUGGUCGUGCCUUCGGUACGCACUGGUAUUAUUGGUUUCUCCUUUCUGAUGAAUCGCGAUGUCAUUAAUUUGGUGUCGUGGGGAAUCAGGACCGUUACUUUGAAAAAAUUAGAGUGUUUAAAGCAGGCUCACGCUUGAAUACAUUAGCAUGGAAUAAUGAAAUAGGACGUUUGAUUCUAUUUUGUUGGUUUCUAGGAUCGACGUAAUGAUUAAUAGGGAUAGUUGUGGGCAUUAGUAUUCAAUUGUCAGAGGUGAAAUUCUUGGAUUUAUUGAAGACUAACUACUGCGAAAGCAUUUGCCAAGGAUGUUUUCAUUAAUCAAGAACGAAAGUUAGGGGAUCGAAGACGAUCAGAUACCGUCGUAGUCUUAACCAUAAACUAUGCCGACUAGGGAUCGGAUGAUGUUAAUUUUUUAAUGACUCAUUCGGCGCCUUACGGGAAAC